rnacentral:rRNA from 1 species
GUAAGGGAAUCUUCCACAAUGGACGCAAGUCUGAUGGAGCAACGCCGCGUGAGUGAAGAAGGGUUUCGGCUCGUAAAGCUCUGUUGUUAAAGAAGAACGUGGGUAAGAGUAACUGUUUACCCAGUGACGGUAUUUAACCAGAAAGCCACGGCUAACUACGUGCAG